rnacentral:tRNA from 1 species
AAGAGAGAAGUAUAUAGGAGAUGCGUCUUGUUUGAAACUAGAAUAAGGUGGUUCGAUUCCCCCCUCUCUUA